GAACCUGCGGAAGGAUCAUUAUCAAAAGUCAAGUCGGGGGCUGUAAAGCUCUCGUCUACACCCAUGUCUUUUGCGUACUCUUGUUUCCUCGGUGGCGCAAGCUGCCGAUUGGACAAACCAAAACCUUUUUUGUAAUUGCAAUCAGCGUCUGAAAAUAAUCUAAUUAUUUACAACUUUCAACAACGGAUCUCUUGGUUCUG
rnacentral:misc_RNA from 1 species